ACGGCUCAGUAACACGUGGAGAACUUGCCCUACGCUGGAGAAUACCCUCGGGAAACUGAGAAUAAUGCUCCAUAGUCCCGCCGUCCUGGAACGGUGGUGGGAUGAAAGCUCCGGCGGCGUAGGAUAGCUCUGCGGCCUAUCAGGUCGUAGCGAGGGUAACGUCCUCGCUAGCCUUCGACGGGUAUGGGUGUUGGGAGACAUCGCCCAGAGAUGGAUUCUGAGACACGAAUCCAGGUCCUACGGGACGCAGCAGGCGCGAAAACUGCACAAUGUGGGAAACCACGAUGCGGGAAACCCAAGUGCCAGCACUAUGUGUUGGCUGUCCUCGACUGUUCGUAAGUCGGGAAGAAAGUGCUGGGUAAGACGGGUGCCAGCCGCCGCGGUAAUACCCGCAGCACAAGUGGUGGUCAUUAUUAUUGGGCCUAAAGCGUCCGUAGCUGGCCUGUUAGAUGCCUGGGUAAAUCGAUGCGCUCAACGUAUCGAACUCCGGGUAGACCGGCAGGCUCGAGACCGGGAGAGGUGUA
rnacentral:rRNA from 1 species